AUUUAAAUAGCUUAAAGGAGAGUUUAAUAUUGAAGAUAUUAAGGUGAUUAAUCAAUCUUUAAAUA
rnacentral:tRNA from 3 species